rnacentral:rRNA from 1 species
CCUACGGGAGGCAGCAGUGGGGAAUAUUGGACAAUGGGCGAAAGCCUGAUCCAGCAAUGCCGCGUGAGUGAUGAAGGCCUUAGGGUCGUAAAGCUCUUUUACCCGGGAUGAUAAUGACAGUACCGGGAGAAUAAGCCCCGGCUAACUCCGUGCCAGCAGCCGCGGUAAUACGGAGGGGGCUAGCGUUGUUCGGAAUUACUGGGCGUAAAGCGUACGUAGGCGGUUAUUCAAGUCAGAGGUGAAAGCCCGGGGUCUCAACCCCGGAACGGCCUUUGAAACUAGAUAGCUAGAGUCUUGGAGAGGUCAGUGGAAUUCCGAGUGUAGAGGUGAAAUUCGUAGAUAUUCGGAAGAACACCAGUGGCGAAGGCGACUGACUGGACAAGUACUGACGCUGAGGUACGAAAGCGUGGGGUAGCAAACAGGAUUAGAUACCCUGGUAGUCCACGCCGUAAACGAUGAUAACUAGCUGUCCGGGUACUUGGUAUCUGGGUGGUCGCAGCUAACGCAUUAAGUUAUCCGCCUGGGGAGUACGGUCGCAGNUUAAAACCGUCAAGGAAUUGACGG